rnacentral:rRNA from 1 species
GACGAACGCUGGCGGCGUGCCUAAUACAUGCAAGUAGAACGCACAGUUUAUACCGUAGCUUGCUACACCAUAGACUGUGAGUUGCGAACGGGUGAGUAACGCGUAGGUAACCUGCCUGGUAGCGGGGGAUAACUAUUGGAAACGAUAGCUAAUACCGCAUAAUAUUGAUUAUUGCAUGAUAAUUGAUUGAAAGAUGCUAUUGCAUCACUACCAGAUGGACCUGCGUUGUAUUAGCUAGUAGGUGAGGUAACGGCUCACCUAGGCGACGAUACAUAGCCGACCUGAGAGGGUGAUCGGCCACUCUGGGACUGAGACACGGCCCAGACUCCUACGGGAGGCAGCAGUAGGGAAUCUUCGGCAAUGGACGAAAGUCUGACCGAGCAACGCCGCGUGAGUGAAGAAGGUUUUCGGAUCGUAAAGCUCUGUUGUAAGAGAAGAACGGGUGUGAGAGUGGAAAGUUCACACUGUGACGGUAUCUUACCAGAAAGGGACGGCUAACUACGUG